rnacentral:tRNA from 1 species
AGGAUGGAUAAGAGCUUUUUUUGCACUAAAGACAUUUUCCAACCAG